rnacentral:rRNA from 1 species
GACGAACCGUGCGAACGUUGUUCGGAAUCACUGGGCUUAAAGGGCGCGUAGGCGGGUCGGCAAGUCAGGGGUGAAAUCCUGGAGCUCAACUCCAGAACUGCCUUUGAUACUGGGGAUCUCGAGUCCGGAAGAGGUGAGUGGAACUCCGAGUGUAGAGGUGAAAUUCGUAGAUAUUCGGAAGAACACCAGUGGCGAAGGCGGCUCACUGGUCCGGUACUGACGCUGAGGUGCGAAAGCGUGGGGAGCAAACAGG